rnacentral:rRNA from 1 species
CCCUUAGACGUUCUGGGCCGCACGCGCGCUACACUGACGAGGGCAACGAGCUUUCCUUUACCGAAAGGUACGGGUAAUCUUUUGAAACUUCGUCGUGCUGGGGAUAGAUCCUUGCAAUUUUUGAUCUUAAACGAGGAAUGCCUAGUAAGCGCAAGUCAUCAACUUGCGUUGAUUACGUCCCUGCCCUUUGUACACACCGCCCGUCGCUACUACCGAUUGAAUGGUUUAGUGAGGCCUUCGGAUCCGCGACUCGUUUUGUGGAGAAGUUGGACAAACUCAGUCAUUUAGAGGAAGUAAAAGUCGUAACA